rnacentral:rRNA from 1 species
GACGAACGCUGGCGGCGCGCUUAACACAUGCAAGUCGAGCGGUAAGGCCCUUUCGGGGGUACACGAGCGGCGAACGGGUGAGUAGCACGUGGGUGACCUGCCCUUAGCUCUGGGAUAAGCCUGGGAAACUGGAUCUAAUACCGGAUAUGACUCCAUGACGCAUGUUGGUGGGGUGGAAAGCCUUGUGCGGCUAGGGAUGGGCCCGCGGCCUAUCAGCUUGUUGGUGGGGUGACGGCCACCAAGGCGACGACGGGUAGCCGGCCUGAGAGGGCGACCGGCCACACUGGGACUGAGACACGGCCCAGACUCCUACGGGAGGCAGCAGGUGGGGAAUCUUGCGCAAUGGGCGAAAGCCUGACGCAGCGACGCCGCGUGA